rnacentral:rRNA from 1 species
CUAACUGGAGGACCGAACCGACUAAUGUUGAAAAAUUAGCGGAUGACCUGUGGCUGGGGGUGAAAGGCCAAUCAAACCGGGAGAUAGCUGGUUCUCCCCGAAAGCUAUUUAGGUAGCGCCUCGUGAAUUCAUCUCCGGGGGUAGAGCACUGUUUCGGCUAGGGGGCCAUCCCGGCUUACCAACCCGAUGCAAACUGCGAAUACCGGAGAAUGUUAUCACGGGAGACACACGGCGGGUGCUAACGUCCGUCGUGAAGAGGGAAACAACCCAGACCGCCAGCUAAGGUCCCAAAGUCAUGGUUAAGUGGGAAACGAUGUGGGAAGGCCCAGACAGCCAGGAUGUUGGCUUAGAAGCAGCCAUCAUUUAAAGAAAGCGUAAUAGCUCACUGGUCGAGUCGGCCUGCGCGGAAGAUGUAACGGGGCUAAACCAUGCACCGAAGCUGCGGCAGCGA